AACGCACCUUGCGCCCCUUGGCAUUCCGAGGGGCACACCCGUUUGAGUGUCGUGAAUUCCUCAACCUUCUGCAUUUCUUGAUGGCAGAAGGCUUGGACUUUGGAGGUUCUUGCUGGCCUCUCCUUCUAGAAGCCAGCUCCUCUUAAAUGGAUUAGCGGGGUCUGCCUUUAGUCGAUCCUUGACGUGAUAAGCCAUUUCUACGUCUUGGAUUCGACUCUUUUGAGACCUGCUUCUAAUCGUCUUAAUGGGGUGCACUUUUGGACCCACGAACCAUUUGACCUCAAAUCGGGUGAGACUACCCGCUGAACUUAA
rnacentral:misc_RNA from 1 species